AUCUCCUGUUCACAGCAAGUCACCUGCACUCUCUCAGUGUCACUGUGAUCUACCUUCAUGAGAUCAGGAGGAGAUGCAGAGUGCCUGACUCUGUCACUGCAGUCCCUUGUGGUACAUCAAUGACUCUACAUCAAGAUGUGCCUCAUCACAAUGGGCCUGCCUGGCAACCAGUGGAAUAUGUGUGACCUUGGUCACCACCACAGGACCCAACACUGACCUGACGACUGAUUUCCGUGCUUUACCUCAGACCUUCCUCAUCCCUGGAGACUUGUCCAACCAUCUAGACCCUGGAUGCUGUGCCAGGGACAAUUCAACAGGCUAAACUGGUUCCUCAUAGCUUCAAAGUAGUGCAGGAGGGAUACAGAGCCAUUCACAUCCUUGAAGUGGUGCUACAGUCCACUUGUUUUAGCAAGUCUGAGAGAAGCAGGAAGAGUUUUGUAUGUUGGGUUCCACCACAGGCCACGCAGUGCUGCCUGGAUCUGUGCACAGGAUCUGCAGUGUCUGUGCAAAUCUUUUUAUCUUAUGAGAUUCUGGGUUAUCUUAUAGGUUAUAUAGGUUAUCUUAUGAGAGAGAACCAUGUAAAUCAAUCCAGAAGAAACUGAUCGGUAAUCUCAACAAAAUUGUUGCAGAACCACUGACAGAUUACAACUUUACUGUUGGAUUCAAGCCAUAUGAGGCCAGAUGUGAUGGUUGAUGAAUAAAAUCCUUCUGACAGAAAGACA